UACGAAGGGGGCGAGCGUUGUUCGGAUUUACUGGGCGUAAAGGGCGCGCAGGCGGCGCAUUUUGUCAGGCGUGAAAUCCCCGGGCUCAACCCGGGAACUGCGUCCGAGACUGGAAGGCUUGAAUCCGGGAGAGGGAUGUGGAAUUCCAGGUGUAGCGGUGAAAUGCGUAGAUAUCUGGAGGAACAUCGGUGGCGAAGGCGGCAUCCUGGACCGGUAUUGACGCUGAGGCGCGAAAGCCAGGGGAGCAAACGGG
rnacentral:rRNA from 1 species